AUUGAACGCUGGCGGCAGGCCUAACACAUGCAAGUCGAACGGUAACAGGAAGAAGCUUGCUUCUUUGCUGACGAGUGGCGGACGGGUGAGUAAUGUCUGGGAAACUGCCUGAUGGAGGGGGAUAACUACUGGAAACGGUAGCUAAUACCGCAUAACGUCGCAAGACCAAAAAGGGGGACCUUCGGGCCUCUUGCCAUCGGAUGUGCCCAGAUGGGAUUGGCUAGUAGGUGGGGUAACGGCUCACCUAGGCGACGAUCCCUAGCUGGUCUGAGAGGAUGACCAGCCACACUGGAACUGAGACACGGUCCAGACUCCUACGGGAGGCAGCAGUGGGGAAUAUUGCACAAUGGGCGCAAGCCUGAUGCAGCCAUGCCGCGUGUAUGAAGAAGGCCUUCGGGUUGUAAAGUACUUUCAGCGGGGAGGAAGGGAGUAAAGUUAAUACCUUUGCUCAUUGACGUUACCCGCAGAAGAAGCACCGGCUAACUCCGUG
rnacentral:rRNA from 1 species